UUGUCACUUGAAGCUACCAAAACCUAAAUUCUCAAUUUAUUCAAAAUGUAAUUAAAAAGGGAAAUAAUCAUAAAUAUUCAGUUUCCAGUUUNUCUAAUGCCUUUCCACUUUCAUCUAAUUCACUUUGAAGGCAUUAAAAGGAAUUUGAUGUAUAAAGGGAAAGGGAAUCAAAUUAAAAUUUUCAAUUGCCAUAAUUUCAUCUAAUUCACUUUGAAGGCAUUAUAAUUUCAUCUAAUUCACUUUCAAUUGUCUUUUGUACCCAGUCCCUGCCCUGCUGACAUAAAAAAGCGUGUCAUGUGCAAAUUACGGCAAGUUAACCUUAAUUACAUUGUUUCCAAUUGCUACACCUUCAAGCAUCUCUCCUCUGUUCUCUUUCAAUAAGAAAUCACAUUAUUAUUCAGUACAUCUUUUGCAUGUUAUUUCUCUCUCACUCUUUCACGUACUGCAAGUAGUCUUGUUUCUUUCACAUCUCUAGACUACGUUUCUAAUAGUCUUACCAUCCCAGCCAGUCACUCAACUACUAUUAGGAAUAGGAAUGAGAUCAUUGGGUUCCUUGUCUUAAACCUCUUAUUAGUUUAAACUUCUAACUCCUUUCAAACUCAUCAUAUCUUUCGCUCUCGUUGGUGUGACAGGGAAUUCAAAUGGUACUAUAAUAUACGUUUUCAUUCAUUUAAUAGUACACAUUGAAAUAAUAUUCAUGAAAAAAGAAUUGUUGUAUUUUCAAAAAUAAAUAAUUAAAUAAUAGAAAUGUGUAAUGUAAAAUACAAUAAAAUGGCUUAGUUUUUCCCUGCAUCAGUUUCGUGAUAUUUUUUCUGUUAUUAUUCUGUUUAGAGUCUUUAAAUCUUAUAAAAGCUGUUUUGCAUGACUGAAUAAACUAUCUUUCACGUAUUCGCUGUGCAAUCUUUUACGUUUCUAAUAGUCUUACCAUCCCAGCCAGUCACCUCUUAUUAGUUUAAAUUCUGAGUAGAGCUCUCAUUUACCAACACAAAAAUUAAUAAAAGUUUCGUGCUUGGUUUCCUCUCUUCAUAUCCAGGUUGGUUUGUUAUUUAGGUUUUGUAUGUGCUUUGAUUUUGGUAUGUUGUGUGUUGUGGUGAUGUAUGUUGCCUGCUGUGAAAUCACUUAAACAUUAACAACCAUUGCCACACAGAAUCACCACCUAUCCUACCCCACAUUCCAUAAAAAAAACUUAACAUUUU
rnacentral:lncRNA from 1 species